UUGCUGCCACAUCACGUUUGAAACACCGGAGCCGUACGACCACCGAAGUUAAGCAACAUCGAGCCUGGUCAAUAUCUAGAUAGGUGACCGCUUGGAAAUACCAGGCGUUAUA